CCUGGCAGAGCAGAGUGAGAUUGAGCCAGUGGUCAAGGUGGACCCCAGGUAGCUCUGAGGAACGAGGGAAGCCGCUCUGGUUUUCAGCUCCAGGCAAAACUCCAUUGGAAGUGGAGAAAUUCAGGCAGAAGAAGAUGGGAGAAGGUAGAAGUCACUUCAAGC